rnacentral:piRNA from 1 species
CACCAGACAAGAUAGGAUGCACUUCU